rnacentral:rRNA from 1 species
GCACAACGCGAAGAACCUUACCAAGGCUUGACAUGCAUCUCUAAGCGCGUGAAAGCGCGUGACCCUUCGGGGGAUUUGCACAGGUGCUGCAUGGCCGUCGUCAGCUCGUGUCGUGAGAUGUUGGGUUAAGUCCCGCAACGAGCGCAACCCUUGUGACUAGUUGCCAGCACGUUAUGGUGGGAACUCUAGUCAGACUGCCCAGAUCAACUGGGAGGAAGGUGGGGACGACGUCAGGUCAGUAUGGCCCUUACGCCUUGGGCUGCACACGUACUACAAUGCCCAGCACAAUGAGAACCGAGACCGCGAGGUGGAGGAAAUCUAAAAAACUGGGCCCAGUUCGGAUUGGAGGCUGCAACUCGCCUCCAUGAAGUUGGAAUCGCUAGUAAUGGCGCAUCAUCUACGGCGCCGUGAAUACGUUCCCGGGUCUUGUACACACCG